CGCGAGCCUGAGGCCUCGCGCGGCCGCGUGACUCCUGCGUAGUUAUCCGGGCCCUGCCGGCCUCCGCCGGAACGCGGGACCUUUCGCAGACUUACUCAGGAGGCCUGGCUGUCAGCAGCUCGGUGAUGCGCCCGGGGGUUGGACUUUAUCCAGGAUCUCCUUGCUCCCUGGCUUACCUGACAGGAGAGAAGGGAGAUAAACUAAAUGACGAGCUAGACCCCCAGCCCUGCAUAUGGGCCUGGGGGCUGCCCGGAAAACUAAACCAGGGGCCCGCCAGUGAGGACCAACCGUGUAUCUGGAUCAGUCCCUGAAAGAGAAGAAAGAACACUGAUAACCACAGAAGCGAAACUGACCCUUCACCAGAGGUAGUUUGAGAAGCACGGAGGCCUCAUCACAAGCCUGAGAGCAAUGAAUAGAAGAGAUGUGUGCAGCCCAAGAACGGGUGAAAACUUCGUUUUUCUAUCUUAACAGGACUCUGCACAAGCCCUAGGCUGCCUGCUCUACCCAGCUGCCCUUGCGGCACGUCUGCCAUCCCAAACCAGCCAUCUGGAGCCUCUGGCUCCUCCAGACACCUCUACACUCACUGGGAUGAAGCCCCACGCUUCCCAAGUGGCUGCCGAAGAAGCUGGGUGGUGCAACCCAGAAGGGCACGUGAGCUCACUGCCCCGUGGAGAACCGUAGUGCAAUGGGAGACUGGAAGAGGGAGAGCCAGUAGGGAGGACAGAGAAGAAAUGAAAAUGUCCUGAGGAGGUGAUAUCUGCAGUGGAAUCUACAAUAACAGCCCUGGGCAAAGGUCUUUCUGGAGGAACUGAGAAGACAAGUACACGAAGGAGGAAUAUGUGGCCAGAGCUUAGUUUCUGGUUCAGUUGAGCCACAUGACAUCAAGCCUCAAGCAAGAUGAUCCCAGAUUGGGCAGGAGGCUCAGGAAGGGACCAGGUAACCUCUUCUCCCAGCCUAGCUCCUUCCACAGGCUCACCCCACUACACACCACACACACGCCAUUCAGGUCUCUGCUCAAACAUCACCUCCUCAUGCAAUCUUCCCCACCCCAUCCCAUCCACUUGUUUCAUUUUCUUUGUGUAACUAUUGGGAUUUUUUUCCCUAACUUUUUAAAAAAUAGUGAGUAACUAUAAAAUCCUAUCUUUAAAAUAUACAUCCAGCAUAAAAAAUGAUGCAGUGAAUGUUCUCAAACUCACUCCCAGCCCCUCGCCCCCAGGUAACUGUCUCCCAGUUCCCUGCCCUUCCUUUCCCCUGACAGGAAACCACCAUCCAAAGUUUUUGUUUUCAGUUCCUUUUUCAUUACAGUUUUACCUUGGUGUUUGUAUGAGGUAAGACUGUAUUACUUGCAUUUCUAAAUAAUAUUUUGUGAGCUUUCAUGUAUUUUUAAACUUUAAACAGGUGAGAUCUUUUUUUUUCUUUUUAAGGUUGAACUUUGUUGUUAUGUGUAGCUGUAAUUCUUUUUUUUUUUUAAUAUUUACAAUUUUUUUUCUUUUUUUAAUUAGGGGGAGGUAAUUGGGUUUAUUUAUUUAUAUUUGGAGGAGGUACUAGGAAUUGAACCCAGGACCUCAUGAAUGCUAAGCUUGUGCUCUGCUUGAGCUAUACGCCCCCAUAGCUAUAAUUCUUUCAUUGUCCCCUGAUGUGAAGUUCUCUAUGUGCACAUACUUGCACUUAAAAAAAAGAAAAUCCACUGUUCUGUUUAGAGACCACUUAUUUCUGCUUUCUGCUGUUAAGAACUGUGCUACUGUCUCAUACCCAAAAAGCUUAUUAAUUACAAAAGAAAAAAAAAUGACGUGGGGAAAAUGGACACGACCUUCACAAAGUAAUCAAAGUGAACACCACCAAGAAGCGGCACACACUGUGUUCCUCCUGUGAUGCAUGAGGAGGGUGCAGCACUGCUUCUGUGGUUUUCUAGUCCAAGAGCUUGAUCUGAAACUAAUUUUGAGGAAGCAUCAGAGAAACCCCAGUGAAGGGCCUUUUAUAAAAUAACUGGCCUGUAUUCUUUUUAAAAAUAGUCUUUAGUUUUUAGAGCAGUUUUAGGUUUGCAGCAAGAUUGCGCAAAAGGUACAGAGAUGUUUCCAUAUCCCCCCUGCAACUAUGCACACACAGCCUCCCUCACUAUUAGAUCCCACUCCGGAGGGGUACAUUUAUGACAACCAAUGAAGCUACUUUGACACAUCAAAGUCACCCAGAGCCCGUGGCUUACAUUAGGGUUCACUCUCGGUGUUGUACAUCAUAGGGUUUUGCCAAAUGUAUAAUGACAUUGAUCCACCAUUAUAGUAUCAUUCAGAAUAGUUUCACUGCCCUAAAAAUCCUCUGUGCUCUGCCUAUUUAUGCCUCCCCCCACCACCACCAUUGGGCAACCACUGCUCCUUUUACUGCCUUCAAAGUUUUGUCCUUUCCAGAAUGUCAUAUAGUUGGAAUCAUACAGUAUGUAGCCUUUUCAUAUUGGCUUCUUUCACUUACUAACAUGCAUUUAAGUUUCCUCCAUGUCUUUUUGUGGCUUGAUGGCUCCUUGGUGCUGAAUGGUAUUCCACUGUCUGGAUGUACUACUUUAUUUAUCCAUCCGCCUAUUGAAGGACAUUAUGUUUGCUUCCAAGUUUUGGCGGUUACAGAAAAAGCUGUUAUAAACAUUUGUGUGCAGGUUUUCAACUUAUUUCAGUAAAUACCAAUGAAUGUAAUUGCUGGAUGGUAUGGUAGAGUGUGUUUAGUUUGGUAAGGAACUACCAAAGUGGUGUCUCUCACAGUGGCUGUACCAUUUUGUAUUGCCACCAGCAGUGAAUGAGAGUUCCUGCUGCUCCACAUCCUUGUCAGCAUUUGGCGUUGUUAGUUAUUUUGAAUUUUGGCCAUUCUAAUAGGUGUGUAGUGGGUCUUGUAGUUUUGGCUUGUGUUCUUAAAGAAUGUCAAUGACAUAACAAGAAAAGCUGAAGAAGAGGUUCAGAUGACAGAACACUAAAUAGAAGUGACAACUAGCCACAAUACAGGGUCUUGGACUGCAUCCUGUCCAGGGGUUAAAAAGUGUAAGACAUUAUUAGGACAGUUGACAGAACUGGAAUAGGGAAUGUAGAUUAGUCUUCUAGCAAUGUUAAGUUUCCUGAAUUUGAUCAUUGCCUAUAUUAUCAUUCUUAGAACAUGCAUAUUAAAAGAUUAAGGUGUAAGUGUCUUAAAAAUGCAAUCUAUUCUCAAAUGAAUCAGAAAAAAAUAUAGAUAAAUAUAAAGAAAGGAAAUGUGGCAUACCUUAGCAAUUUGUGGAUGAGGGAAAUA